UUUGAACGGCUGUUUGUUUGAUGAUGAACGUUCAAGAUCGAACGAAGACAGCUCGGCACGUUUGUAUUGCUUUAGUUAGAAAGGGAUUCGUAUCUAUCAACAUUUUGCAAAAUGCCUCCUCCGAAAGCCAGAUUGCACAAAACAACGGGAAAGCUGAAAACCAUUCCUAAAGUGCCGCAAUCGGUUGUAAACCAGACACCAUCGAGUUCGUCUCCCGGAACACCACAAUCCGUUAGCAGUCCACCGGAAGUAGAUCGACAAUUUGAACUAGAACUCUACUGGUGCAUCCAGCAGCUGGAGAAUUCACUGAACGCGCCUCACAUGAGAGAGAAUAAAAAGAAACUGAUGAUACCUUAAAACUAAUAAACACUCUCAAAUCAGCAAAUCAACCGCU